GAAUUCAACGAAAAGCCUUUACUGCCUAGUAGCACAGACUUUGCCUCUAAGUGCGUUUCAAGCAGCAGCAGCAGCAACCAUUAACUGCCAGUAGCUCCUCAGCCAGAGGUGGGGGCCUCACAAACCCUUGACCAGCCGUGAUAGAAUGUUGAAGAGCUCCACCUUGUAAGAAGAAUAAGUGAAAGAAAUGCAUCGCGUGAGGAUUCAAAAACAUGCCUGUUUGGAAGAUGGAGAGGACCCUGCACAGAAAUCGGAAAGAAGUCUCAGGAUUAAGGACCUUCGGCCAACAGCUAGAGAAGAAAAACUCCAGUCCUACUAUAUGAUGGGCAAUAUUCCAGCUGAGUUUACACUUUGCUCUGUGUUAGUUGGCUAGUAUGAUCAUCACUCCUCUUUGUCAACUAGUUUGGAUUAAAAAGUUGCUCAGACAUUA